ACCGGUCCAACAGUAAUCUUUUUGACUUGUCCCCUCCAAGAUACAACAGCCUUCUCACAACAACUCAGGACAAGAGUUGAGUUCAAAGCUCCACAAAAAGAACACAUCCCUUCAACUAGCAAACUCUUUUUUUUACUAACUUUUUUGUGAACUCUAUAAUAACUUGUAUAUUUCAAAAGCAUGCAAGACCACCUCUAUUUAUAGGUAUGAAAUCUUCCAUGCAAUGUGUAAGAAGAAUAAAUGGAAAGAUUAAUAGACUAGAGUUU
rnacentral:lncRNA from 1 species